UAGCGGCGGACGGGUGAGUAAUGCUUAGGAAUCUGCCUAUUAGUGGGGGACAACAUUCCGAAAGGAAUGCUAAUACCGCAUACGCCCUACGGGAGAAAGCAGGGGAUCUUCGGACCUUGCGCUAUUAGAUGAGCCUAAGUCAGAUUAGCUAGUUGGUGGGGUAAAGGCCUACCAAGGCGACGAUCUGUAACUGGUCUGAGAGGAUGAUCCGUCACACUGGAACUGAGACACGGUCCAGACUCCUACGGGAGGCAGCAGUGGGGAAUAUUGGACAAUGGGCGAAAGCCUGAUCCAGCCAUGCCGCGUGUGUGAAGAAGGCCUUUUGGUUGUAAAGCACUUUAAGCGAGGAGGAGGCUACCGAGAUUAAUACUCUUGGAUAGUGGACGUUACUCGCAGAAUAAGCACCGGCUAACUCUGUGCCAGCAGCCGCGGUAAUACAGAGGGUGCAAGCGUUAAUCGGAUUUACUGGGCGUAAAGCGCGCGUAGGUGGCCAAUUAAGUCAAAUGUGAAAUCCCCGAGCUUAACUUGGGAAUUGCAUUCGAUACUGGUUGGCU
rnacentral:rRNA from 1 species